UGGGGAAUAUUGGACAAUGGGCGCAAGCCUGAUCCAGCCAUGCCGCGUGAGUGACGAAGGCCUUAGGGUUGUAAAGCUCUUUCGGCGGGGAAGAUAAUGACGGUACCCGCAGAAGAAGCCCCGGCUAACUCUGUGCCAGCAGCCGCGGUAAUACAGAGGGGGCAAGCGUUGUUCGGAAUCACUGGGCGUAAAGCGCACGUAGGUGGAUAGUUAAGUUCGGGGUGAAAUCCCAGGGCUCAACCCUGGAACUGCCUCGGAUACUGGCUAUCUCGAGUCCGGAAGAGGUGAGUGGAAUUCCUAGUGUAGAGGUGAAAUUCGUAGAUAUUGGGAAGAACACCAGUGGCGAAGGCGGCUCACUGGAUCGGUACUGACGCUGAGGUGCGAAAGCGUGGGGAGCAAACAGGAUUAGAUACCCCUGUAGUCCCUGAGCGGGCUGGCAAGGCGCAU
rnacentral:rRNA from 1 species